GGCGAACGUUAGCGGCGGGCCUAACACAUGCAAGUCGAGCGGGCAGUAGCAAUACUGUCAGUGGCGCACGGGUGCGUAACGCGUAGAUAAUCUACCUUCCAGCGGGGGGAUAACUAAGGGAAACCUUAGCUAAUACCCCAUAAGACCACGGUGCCUUUGGGUGCUGAGGGAAAAGGCGGCCUCUGUAUAUGCUGUCACUGGGAGAUGAGUCUGCGUCCCAUCAGCUAGUUGGUGAGGUAAUGGCUCACCAAGGCGAAGACGGGUAGCUGGUCUGAGAGGAUGAUCAGCCACACUGGCACUGGAACACGGGCCAGACUCCUACGGGAGGCAGCAGUGGGGAAUAUUGGGCAAUGGGCGGC
rnacentral:rRNA from 1 species